ACGUACACUCCUACGGGAGGCAGCAGUGGGGAAUAUUGCACAAUGGGCGCAAGCCUGAUGCAGCCAUGCCGCGUGUAUGAAGAAGGCCUUCGGGUUGUAAAGUACUUUCAGCGGGGAGGAAGGCGAUAAGGUUAAUAACCUUGUUGAUUGACGUUACCCGCAGAAGAAGCACCGGCUAACUCCGUGCCAGCAGCCGCGGUAAUACGGAGGGUGCAAGCGUUAAUCGGAAUUACUGGGCGUAAAGCGCACGCAGGCGGUCUGUCAAGUCGGAUGUGAAAUCCCCGGGCUCAACCUGGGAACUGCAUUCGAAACUGGCAGGCUAGAGUCUUGUAGAGGGGGGUAGAAUUCCAGGUGUAGCGGUGAAAUGCGUAGAGAUCUGGAGGAAUACCGGUGGCGAAGGCGGCCCCCUGGACAAAGACUGACGCUCAGGUGCGAAAGCGUGGGGAGCAAACAGGAUUAGAAACCCCAGUAGUCCCA
rnacentral:rRNA from 1 species